rnacentral:lncRNA from 1 species
UAUAGAGGUGAAUUAUAUUAUAUUUGUUUCCUUCACAGUACCUAGAAUAAUGUAGACAGAGGUUCCAUCAAUGCUGGCUGCCUCCUCCAAAAUGUCAAUGUACUGACCGUCACCUUCCAGAGCAAAGAGAAGUAGGAUGAUGUUCUGCUCAGAUCUGGAGAGUGAGAAGCAGGACAAAGAAGAGAUGUUAGCAGUGGAUGGCCCAGUGUGAAGGGAGAGAAGGCGCUUCUAUCAUCUGGUGAUAGGAUGGGGGCUUCAGAAAGAAGCAGGAAGAGCUCUGCGAAUAUUAGAUGGCUCAGUGCUGAGUUCAGGAAGUCACUGUUGUGUUCUUAAAGCGGCUAUGCCAGAGGACUUUGGAGACCCGGAUGCUUCAUUCAAUGAACUACAAAUGGGCCAACUUUUCCAGAGAGAUUCAGGAAGGAUGACUAACUUGGUGUCAGCAGCUCAGAAAUGAAAAAUCGGUGAAGUCCGGCCUGAUGAAGUAACUGCUUGAGUUAGUGCUUGGCCACUGUCCCUAACUAGAGCCAGUCCUCAUGAUGAGAAAGUAAAGAGGAAGAGAAGCAGAUGGG